rnacentral:rRNA from 1 species
AUUGAACGCUGGCGGCAUGCUUUACACAUGCAAGUCGAACGGUAACAGGGUGCUUGCACCGCUGACGAGUGGCGAACGGGUGAGUAAUGCGUCGGAACGUGCCGAGUAGUGGGGGAUAACGCAGCGAAAGUUGUGCUAAUACCGCAUACGUACUGAGGUAGAAAGUGGGGGACCUUCGGGCCUCACGCUAUUCGAGCGGCCGACGCCUGAUUAGCUAGUAGGUGAGGUAAAGGCUCACCUAGGCGACGAUCAGUAGCGGGUCUGAGAGGAUGAUCCGCCACACUGGGACUGAGACACGGCCCAGACUCCGACGGGAGGCAGCAGUGGGGAAUUUUGGACAAGGGGCGAAAGCCUGAUCCAGCCAUGCCGCGUGUCUGAAGAAGGCCUUCGGGUUGUAAAGGACCUUUGUCAGGGAGGAAAUCCCUAGUGCUAAUAACACUGGGGGAUGACAGUACCUGAAGAAUAAGCACCGGCUAACUACGUGCCAGCCGCCGCCGUAA